rnacentral:rRNA from 1 species
UGGGGAAUAUUGGGCAAUGGGCGCAAGCCUGACCCAGCAACGCCGCGUGAAGGAAGAAGGCUUUCGGGUUGUAAACUUCUUUUCUUGGGGACGAAGCAAGUGACGGUACCCAAGGAAUAAGCCACGGCUAACUACGUGCC